UUUGGUAGAAAAAUUUGCAAAAUUUAUUUAGCCAUUUUUAAAACUGAUGAGCACUUACACUCUGUCUCAGUGUUACUAUGUAUUAUUUACUCUUGGAAACAGCGCUGCAAUGAAAAUUCUUGUAUACAGUUCUUUGUGCACAUGUGCAAGUAUUUCUCUAAGGCAGAUACUCAAAAAUGUAAUUUCUAGGUCAUAGGCUAUGCACAUUUUUAAUUUUUAUGUCCUUUUAAAAUUUUAAUAUGUCCUGCCAAAUUUCCCUACAAGGUGGCAGUACAAAUUUAUAGCCUCUCUGCAGGGCGUGAGAAUUCUCCACACUCUCACCAACUUACAUUUUCUUUUCCAAUCUGAUGGGUAAGAAAUGGCUUCUGGUUGUGUUCAUUUGCAGUUUUCUGAGGAGCAGUGAGUUCAGCUUCGUUUAUCAGACUCCUCUCUCAAUCAGGUCUUUCCUGGAGCCUCAGCAGCUCAGUGGAUUCUUAUCAAUGAUCUGCAUCAUGUAAAGGGAUGGACUUCGGAGUGGAAACAACAGAGUCUGGUCCUAAUCUCUUUGCUGUAGUAACUCAGGGAAGUUAAUGAGAGUGAUGAGGAGAUUAAAGGAGACAAUGCAUAGAAGGGAUUUAGCCCAGUGCCUGAUGCAUCAAGAACACCCAAUAAAUGCUGGCUAUCCUCACCAGCCUUAUUAUUAUGAUGAUGAUGACUAUUAUUAUGACUACCAUCUCCACUUCUCUCAUGUGUGACAGAUAGCUGCUGACAUAAUUUCCAGUGAUCCCCACCCCAUAGUAUUCAUGCCGUGUGUAAUCCCAUACCUUGAGUGGUGGGCUGGACCUAGUGUCUUGUUCCUAACAAACAGAAUACACCAAAAGUGAUGGAAUAUCACUUCCAUGGUUAGCUUUAAAAAGACUGUGGAUUCCAUCUUGCUGACAUGUUCCUAUUGCUGUCUCCCUUCUUGUACACUUUGAUGAAGCAAGCAGCCAUGCUGGAGAGGCCCACAUGGAAAGGAACUGAGGGAACCCUCCAGCCAUCAGGAAAUGAGGAGCUAAAGCUGGCAGCCUACCAGGAACUGAAUCCCACCAACAACCAUGUAAGUAAACUUGGAAGCAGAUCUUCCCCAAUCCAGCCUUCUGAUGAGUAUAGCCCAGAUGAAGCCUUGUGUGCUGCCUGUGAGAUACCCUGAAGCACAGGACCCAGCUAAAUGAUGUCCAGUUUUCACACCCCAUCUCUGUGUUUUUUUCUGUGUUAGCUUCUGUUAUGCGCUGAAUUGUGCUCCUCCCACCUCCAGUAUGUUGAAAUCCUAACCCCGGGUACUUCAGAUGUAACUAUAUUUUCUGACAGGGCCUCUAAAACUUCUCUACUUCCUCCUCAAGGCCCACGUCCAACAUCACUCUCUCUGGGAACCCUUCCCUUUUGAGGCAUAGCCGCCUCGUUUCCAAAGUAGACCUGGAUACCAUGACGAUAAAAAGCUGGACACACUGCCUCGGUGCAGAUCUGCUGGCUGUGUGAUCUUGGGUAAGUUACUUACAUCUCUGUUCCUCCAUCUGCUUAGUACCUAGUCCCCAGGGCUGUUGAGAGAAACAAAUGAUUAAUACAUGAAAAGCACUUAGAACCGUGUCUGGUACAUGGAAAAUGCCUAGUAAGCGUUAGCUGUUAUUACCUCAUGUUUGAACACACCUCUGCUGGGAAUUAUCUGUUGGCCCAUCUGUUUCCCUUAUCAAGUCUGCACGCUCCUCUAAAGGAGGGCAUCUUCGCCAGCUCAGGCUGCUGUAACAAAAUACCAGAAACCGGGUGGCUUAUAAAUAAUAGAAAUGUAUUUCUCACAGUUCUGGAGGCUGGAAGUCUGAAAUCACGGUGCCAGCAUGAUCAGGUUCUGGUGAGGGCCCUCUUCUGGGUUAAGGCUGACUUCUUCUUGUGUCCUCACAUGGUGGAAAGAGAGCCAGGGAGCUCUUUUCAGUCUCUUUUUUAAGGGCACUAAUCCCAUUCACAAGGGAUCCACCUUCAAGACCUACUUACCUCCCAAAGACCCCACCUCCAAAUACCAUCACUUUGGGAAUUAGAUUUCAACACGGGAAUUUGGCCGGGGACACAAGGCUCAGUCCAUGGCAGAAAGAGAGCUUAUUCAUCACACUGGCUGCAUGGUACUUAGGAGGUAUGAGGUGUGCUGUAUCCCCAGCACAGAGAAGGUGCUCAGAAUUUCAUAGCUUUCAAUAAGUGAAUGAGUGAGUGAGCGAUUAAGCGAGUGAGUGAAUGAACAUAGAGGAAGAGUCUUGGACAACAGAUGGAACAACCUUCUCCCUUGAUCUGCGCAAACCUCCACCUGUCCCUGAAACAGCCCUCAACCCUGAGCCAACCCCACCCCUUUCUCCUCGAAACCAUCUUCCUCUUAGUCCCUCCUCCUACUUCAUUCAGCCGACAUUCAAGUGCAAACCACCGGGAAAACCCAAAGAACGUUCAUGGGAUAAAUCACCCAAUUACUAAUCAGGUCCAUCCGUCCACCAUUAACCACUAUUUUCCCUGCAAAAAGUAAACACGCCUCCUCCCCACAGCCUGACACGAGGGCCAUUAAACCCAGGAAGGGCGUGUCUCCACAGCAGCCCAGAAACAACUUGAAAGUGGAAAAAUACGGUGGACUCGGUGAUUCAGUGGUCGUUCAGAUAUAGCCAAAAUGUUUGGUUUCAGCCUUGACGGAAGCCAUUGCCCUCCUAUUUCGUCUCCUCUAAGAUCGGAGAGUGUGGACUUUGAUAAGACGUCCUUCUCAGGUCCGACAGCUUUGUGCUUUCCCGGAUGAGCUUGUCAAGCACUUGAGUUUCUUUCAGACUUGGCUCCUGCCCUGGGCUAGGCAUGGGGGUGCCCAGAGAUUCUGGCGCAAGGCAGGUGAAUCUGAACAGUGCUCCCCAAAGGAAGCCGAGGUGGUGCUUCAGAAACCAGGGAGCGCAGCCCCCAUACUUGGGCGACACAUUUGGCUCUGGCUUCUGGCAGCUAAGG
rnacentral:lncRNA from 10 species